rnacentral:tRNA from 1 species
GUAAGGAGUAGCGGCGCAAGUUGCAGUAUAACGAAAAUCCGUUGGUUUCACAGGACCGUGA